rnacentral:rRNA from 1 species
UUAAAGAGUUCUAUAACUCCCAAACCCAUGUGAACAUACCUAACGUUGCCUCGGCAGGUCGCACCUACCUUGUAGCACCCUACCCUGUAGGGCCUACCCGGGAGGUGCGGGUAAGCCUGCCGGCGGCCCACCAAACUCUGUUUGAUAUUGAAUUCUGAACCUAUAACUAAAUAAGUUAAAACUUUCAACAACGGAUCUCUUGGUUCUGGCAUCGAUGAAGAACGCAGCGAAAUGCGAUAAGUAAUGUGAAUUGCAGAAUUCAGUGAAUCAUCGAAUCUUUGAACGCAUAUUGCGCCCAUUAGUAUUCUAGUGGGCAGGACCGUUCGAGCGUCAUUUCAACCCUUAAGCCUUCGUUGCUUAGUGUUGGGAGCCUACGGCAACGUAGCUCCUCAAAGUUAGUGGCGGAGUUGGUUCACACUCUAGACGUAGUAAUUUUUUAUCUCGCCUAUUAGUUGGACUAAUCCCCUGCCGUAAAACCCCCAAUUUAUCAAGGUUGACCUCGAAUCGGUUCAGACAAACUCGCUAAAUUGAAGCAUCUUAGUCAGCGAAGGAAAAGAAACCAACAGGGAUUGCCCUAGUAACGGCGAGUGAAGCGGCAACAGCUCAAAUUUGAAA